rnacentral:lncRNA from 1 species
CCGAGGUCAGCUAGGAGCACCUGCGAGGGAACCGGUGAGACGAACGUCACCUCACAGUCGCCGGGUUCUGCGUCCGGGAGGCGUAGCUAUCGGAUUUUUUACCGGAUAUAAGAUGUUAGUGUAGCCUAGCAGACUUGAUACCAGCCCAUUGGCUUUGGCAACGUGAUUACAGCGUGAUAGCGACGUGUCGUGUCGCUGAUGGGGCUCACCGAAGGGGAGGGCAUGCGCGCGACUAUACUGCCUGCGUGUAACCGCCGCGCUUCUCACAGUUGGUUUUCUAGAAGAUUCCGUGUGCGACCUCCUCGCGAAUAGCACGUGCAUGAUUGGUGCACAAGUUUUAUUACUUAACUUUAUAUUUUAACUGUAUUAUAAAAGACGCGAGUGUAAUUCAAGUAUAAUAAAAGAGGUCUUAUAUCAAGGCAGAGUGUAUUUCAUUUAUAUCACACGCUGCCAAUACCGACACGGACAAGCCACAAGGCAGGAGACACAGAUCUCAGACAAAAAGGAAAUAGCGCUUCACAUAGCGCAACGGGGACACCAAGGUCCUCUCACUAACAUUGUCUUUAUUCACGCACUGCCGAAUUACUUCGGGUAUGGCCACAAGGCAGGAGACACAGAUCUCGGACAAAGAGAAAAUAGCGCUCCACAUAGCGCAACGGGGACACCAUGGUCCUCUCCCCUAACAAGUACAUUUAUCAUGCGACCUUACUCUGGAAAACAACUUGACGAAAGAAAAAAAAAUUUUAAUUACAGAUUAGUAAUUAUAGGUUAAUUACAGAUCAAGGCGCACAAUCGAAAAUGCAUUUGGUAUUUUAUCUUCACGAUGGAGGAUCUUUCGGAAACCUAUUAAUAUGCAUCCUAAAUAUGUAGACAGCAUCAUUAUGGCGACUAUAUGUUUACAUAACUUCACUUUCAAAAUCUAAUGAAGAUAAUGUGCAAGCGAAGGAUAGAAUAUAUUGUCCUCCAAAUUUCGUGGAUUCAGAGAAUGGUUCGAAAAAGAAGGAAAAAAGAAGAAAAAGCGCACGCCCUCGCGUUCUUCUUCGCAUCUAACUCGCGCCCCGCGCGCCAUACACAUAUACAUAUCACGCGACAUGGGAAAAGUAUGAGACAUAAAAAAAAAUACAAACUGCAACUGUGAAACAGCGAUCUAUUUCAUGUUUCACUAGGAAAAUGCAAUCUGCAGAUAAGACUGUUAUGUCAACUGAAAUAAAAUUGGUUGGAUUUUUAAUGGAACAUAAUCUGCUUUUUCGUUUGGCUGAUCAUUUAACAGAUUUGUUAAAAGAUAUUUGCCAUGAUCAUCCAAUAAUAAAAAAUAUUGCUAUGAAAAGAACAAAAAUAUCUAGUAUUGCAGUAAAUGUUAUCGGUACUUUCCAUAAAGAUAAAUUGGCUCAGAUAUUAAAAAACAAUAAAUUUAGUCUUCUUACAGAUGAAUGAACUGACAAAUCUUACAUUAAAACCGCUUAUAUAGUAGUGAGAUUUAAUGAUACUACUUUACAAAAAAUUGUCAGUGAAUUUUGGGAACUGUAUAAAAUUUUUGAUUCAAGCAAUGAAGGU